GAGUACCAAAUGAAAAAAUACUUAUACAAUGCCUAGCACAUAGUGAUGGGGUGUAGCCCAAGGGGAGGUCUUCCCUGCUUGCCCCAAAGGGAAUCUGAUUCCUAUUUGUCUGCAGGCCCCAGCCCCUUAUCUCCCUUUGAGAGCCCUAGCCGCACCUUUUUGAUCUCAUCAUCUAUUCCCAUUGUCUAUUCAAUCUCUCAGACCUUCCAAUCAGAAUUCUCACCCACACCUUUUCCCAGACCCUGGUCUGGGCACCCAAAGUCACUUUAGUAUAUAAGAUCUACCCAGGCCCUCAAUCGGGGCUGAGAAUCUAUGCCCAAAAGGUUGAGACUUUCUCAUGCCCGCCCGUCCUUACCGGCGUCACCUGGCUCAUGUGUUCUAUCACUAAUGAACUUUUCCUCUAGCUGAAGAUUUAAGUUGAAUUCUUUCAAGCAGGGUCCGGUACUGCGAUCUUGAGGUUCCUGCAGCACCCCAAAACCUCUAGAUCUCUUCAGUACUAGGCACUUAAUAAAUAGUUGUCCUCUCCCCGCUCUCCUUCCCUAAUCAUUGCCAUCUGGGUGGCACGGAGGUCACACUACAGGAGUCAAACUUCGAUUCUAGCCCCAAGUACUGCCAAUUGUCACUUCCUUGCUCUGGGCCUCAGUUUCCCAAACUGUAAAAUAAAGGCGAGGGGUGGGGGUAGGGACGAAGAUGGGGAGGUCGUUCUAGCCCCAACGCUCUUUGGCCCCUCGAGAACGGAAGGAUCACCCUACGGCUGCUGCUCAUGGGAACGCAGCGGGAGGGAAACGCAGCCGGGAUGGGGGAGGGGGGAUCGGCGGAGGAGGUAGGAGAAGGCAGCGCAGAUGUGAUGGAAGGCGGGAGGCGGGGCGGGGAGUGCGCGGAAGGAGGAGGAUGGGUGGGGUCAGGGGGAGGGGCUGCCCGUCCCCAAGGCACGAGGCCCCCAGACACAGAGAAGACAACCCAAGCCGGAAUGUCCCUUCAGGGGCGCCGUCCGGAUGGACAAAGGCGGCACUCAGCCGGCAGUAGAAGGAAGAAGUCCCCAGAUGAUGACAGAUAAUACAGAAGUUUUCAUAGGAUGGUGUGAAACGUGUGGUAGAGGGCAAACUGACACAUUUGAGUCAGGACAUAUGCUUGUCUUUUCUCCAAGAUGGCAGCUUAAAGGAAAAAAGCGUGACUGCUAUUCGAAGUUUCCCUGCCUAAUGCGUAGUUCUAAUGUCCUAGACAUUAUUCUGUCUUUAUCUCCUCUCACAGUGAAACCUCGAGUACAGAAUCACUCUCCUCUGAGGCCGCAUCUUUGUCCCCUCUGUUCACCAUCCUUCACCAAAAAGAAAAAACCAAGAAGGUCCUUAUCAGCGUGACUGAGAAAGAGUGGGAUUGAAAAUGCUACAUUUCACCCAGGAACAUGCUAUUAAAAAAAACAACUUUAAAAAAACUAAAAUCAAGGCAGCAGGGCACCAGAAAAACCUGCUUGGACCUAGACAUCAGGAAUCCCAAAUCUACUUCUUAGUGCAGAGCUGGGCAAGGGAUAAAUAACAGAAAUAUAUAUAUGUAAUAUGCAAAUAUCUAUCUAUCUAUAUCUAUCUAUCUAUCUAUCUAUCUAUCUAUCUAUCUAUCUAUCUAUCUAUCUAUCCAUCUGUCUGUCUAUCUAUAGAGAGAGAGCUGGUCAAAUAGCAUAGAUCCAGUAAGGUCAUACCUCGACUAGGCAAUGGGGAGUCGAAGUAGAUAGAGCUCUGAGCCUGAAAUCCAGAAGACCUGUGUUCAGAUCCUACCACUUAGUAGCUAAGUGUCCAUGGGCAAAUCUCUUCACCUCAGUCUACCUCAGUUUCCUCAGCUGUAAGAAGGGGAUACUGCCCUGGGCUGAAGUGAGGAUCAAACAGGAUGACAUUGUUAAGGAGCUUAAUAAAUCCUUGCUUCCUUCCCUCCUUCCA
ensembl:lncRNA